AAUGACAGACUGAGCAAAAUUGCU
rnacentral:piRNA from 1 species